UCUCCGUAGGUGAACCUGCGGAGGGAUCAUUACAGAGUUCAUGCCCUACCGGGUAGAUCUCCCACCCUAUGUUGUUAUUACUUUGUUGCGUUGGCGGGCCGUUAGGCUCCGGCCCGACUACCGGCCCCGGCUGGUAAGCGCCCGCCAGAGGACCCAAAACCCUGAAUAUUAGUGUCGUCUGAGUACUAUAUAAUAGUUAAAACUUUCAACAACGGAUCUCUUGGUUCUG
rnacentral:misc_RNA from 1 species